AAUAAAGAACCGUAGAAGCGCUUCUCGAUUCUUAGUUUCUCUGAUAUUCUUUGCGCGUGGUUUCCAUUUCUCUCCCUCUCCUUCUUUCUGGUAAGAUCUUCGAUUACCUCUGAUUUAUCUUGGUCAGAUCAGAUCCGCCCAAAGAAGCACAAAAAUUUUAAGUUCUAGGGAUUUUGAUUGUCAAUUCUUUUAUUUGUUCUUCUUUUUUUUUUUUUCACUCUGAUUAAUUGCCAUAACUCAAAUCUACGGUGUAAUCAUUGCUUUGCUCGUUUUUAUUGAUUAAAGUUGUAAGCGUUGUCGGUAAAUCUAGGGUUUAUACAUUUAGGGAACCCUAAAGGAAAAAGGAAAGUAAUUGAAUUUUUGUGAUUUGUGUGUUUGAUUGGGAAUUUUGCUUGGUAUCUGUCUUGGGUUUUGAAUUUUUUAUUGAGAAGAGCUGUGUGGUUCUUGAUUGGUAUGGCGGCAGGGCGAGUAGAUGUUCCAAGGAGAAGUGAUUUUGGGAAAUUGAAUUGGGGUCAGACUCAUGCUAUUCCCGAUAAGAAUGGUUACAAUUACCCAUCUAAUGGGAAGAAUUUGGUUAUCCAGCAUAAGAAUGGGUACGACCUGGGUCCUAGGCGAUAUGGGUUAGAGGCUGUUGUGAGAGUUAAGAAUGAUGUAAGGAGGAUAUUGGAUGGUGGGGUUCAACAGCCCCCACAGAAAAAGAGGAAGUUUUCCCCUAUUGUGUGGGACAUGGAAGAGAAGGAAGUAAGAAUUUCGUGUAGGAGCAGAGUUGCAUCAACAGCUAGCUCGCUGUCAUCUUGUCCUUCACCUUGCAAGUUGUCAAAUACUGUUUCCAAUCAGGUUUUCAAGAAGCAACAAGUCUCUGCAAAUCUGAUUGAGGAAGUGGAGCAUAUGCUUCCAAAGUCUCAAGUGUCUGAUUAUGCUGUUUUAUCUCCUUCACUGCCUGGAAAUUUAUGUCACGAUGAUGAUCGAGAAAAAGAUUUGAUGGGAAAAGAAAAUGUUCAAGCACUUAACAUAUUCACUUCACGUUGGGCAUCUGAUAGCGAUGAUGAAGAUGUGUCUCAAAGUGAGGAAAAGAUUAGGACGAGUUCGAGUCUUGAGAGUGGAGAGUUUGAAAGAGAGGAUUCUGAAGGAGAUGGGGUACUAUCUAAUGAAAGAAGCAGCAGUGUAUUGUCUGCUUGCGAGGAUGAAGAUAUGGAAUGUCAAUUGGACUCUAAUGGUGUGAUGGACAUUGAUGACAUGUAUGAUGAAGAUGCAGUUGUUGACCAGUCGGAUUUAGAUGUUGAAGAACCAGCAGGAAGAGGUAUGAACAUGCUUCUGGGUUGUAGAAAUGUUUUUGAAUAUGAAAAAUUGAACAAAAUAAGUGAAGGUACUUAUGGUAUUGUUUAUAGAGCUAAGGAUAAGAAGACGGGUGAAAUUGUGGCUCUGAAGAAGGUAAAGAUUCUUGACCAGAGAGAUUCAGAAGAAUAUGGUUUCCCUUUGACCUCACUAAGGGAAAUUAACAUUCUUGCAUCUUUUCGUCAUGCUUCAAUUGUCAAAGUUAAAGAAGUUGUUGUAGAUGACCAUGACAAUGUUUACAUGGUUAUGGAGUACAUGGAACAUGACUUCAAGGGGCUAAUGGAAUCUAUGAAACGACCAUUUAGCCUAAGUGAUGUUAAAUGCUUGAUGCUACAGUUAUUGGAGGGUGUCAAAUAUCUUCAUGAUAAUUGGGUGCUCCACAGGGAUUUGAAAACAUCCAAUCUUCUCUUGAACAACCAAGGUGAACUAAAAAUAUGUGACUUUGGUAUGUCUCGCCAAUAUGGAAGCCCUUUGAAGCCAUAUACAACUAAGGUGGUUACUCAGUGGUAUAGAGCACCUGAACUUUUGCUUGGAGCAAAGAAGUAUUCAACAGCAGUUGACAUGUGGUCUGUGGGCUGUAUAAUGGCUGAGUUGUUAGCUAAGGAAGCCUUGUUCAAAGGGACAAGCGAGAUUGAUCAGCUUCGCAAGAUAUUUGAUACUCUUGGUACUCCAAGUGAGAAGAUUUGGGCUGGUUUUUCUGAAUUACCUGGGGCCAAGGCAAAUUAUUCUAAGCAACCGUAUAAUUUGUUGCGUAGGAAGUUUCCUGCGGUAUCUUUCACAGGAUCUCCAGUUCUUUCUGAUUCUGGAUUCGACCUGUUAAACAGGCUUCUUACAUAUGAUCCUGAGAAGAGAAUAACAGCAGAUGAUGCUCUUAAUCAUGACUGGUUCCGUGAGCUUCCUCUUCCAAAAUCUAAAGAAUUCUUGCCUACAUUCCCCCCAAAAAUGUGAAUGGAACAGGUGCCUGUUCUGAUUAUGAAAGCUGGACAGAUGCAAAAAACACAUUUAGGCUGCAUUUUUAGUUUACAGUCAGCAGUUGCUUAAUUUUGUUCGAAUGACUCUUAUGGUAUAUACAAGCAAUCAUGAAGGAUCGGAAUCCAAUGCAGCGGUGGGUAUACUGAUAUUUGGGAGCCAACAGCACUGGUCUUUCCUGCUCGUGGGCAGUAAGUUUUGCACACUCAAAGAUGCUUUGGAAAUGAAUUAAUUUGAUCUUCUAACUUGUGAGAUUUUUGUUUCUUUGUUUUCUUAUCUGUUUCGAGUGUUUAGCAGUGCAGGAGGUUUUCCGACUGCAUGCAUUUGCAUAGUCAUUUAGCGUUCAAGUAAGAUGCUAUAUUAUUGUUGUUAUAUCAUAUUAUCUUGUACUUUAGUGACUUCUACCCUGACAACGACUUAACUAUCAGUUUUAUGUAAAUUAUGACUAAGAAUUGAUAUUUUCUAGCGAUGGGAUGGUGACAUUGAUGAUGCACAGAAAGUUCUGAUUAACAUGCAGAUGUUACUGCUGGAGAAAAGAUAACAGAACCACUAGUGUUGGAGGCUUGUUCUCUUCUCUUCUUUUUCCUUUUUUUCUUUAUUUCUUUUAUGUUUUCUUUGUCAUGAUUGAA